GAUGAACGCUAGCGGGAGGCUUAACACAUGCAAGCCGAGCGGUAUUGUUUCUUCGGAAAUGCGAGAGCGGCGUACGGGUGCGUAACACGUGUGCAACCUGCCUUUAUCUGGGGGAUAGCCUUUCGAAAGGACGAGUAAUACUCCAUAAUAUAUUGAACGGCAUCGUUUAAUAUUGAAAGCUCCGGCGGAUAGAGAUGGGCACGCGCAAGAUGCGCUAGUGGGUGAGGUAACGGCUCACCAAGGCGAUGAUCUUUAUGGGGGCUGAGAGGGUGAUCCCCCACACUGGUACUGAGACACGGACCAGACUCCUACGGGAGGCAGCAAUGAGGAAUAUUGGUCAAUGGGUGCAAGCCUGAACCAGGCAUCCCGCGUGAAGGACGACUGCCCUAUGGGUUGUAAACUUCUUUUGUUUAAGGAUAAACCUACCUUCGUGAGGGUAGCUGAAUGUACUAUACGAAUAAGCACCGGCUAACUCCGUGCCAGCAGCCGCCGUAA
rnacentral:rRNA from 1 species